CCCCUGACGUCGGCAAAGUUCUGAACUUUGGGGGGAAGAGAGGAGGUGGAAGUGUCGGACUUGGAGUGGCCCCGAGCCAUGGCCAUUGUCCCGUGCGCUCUGCCGGGCUCUGCGCGCGGGGCGGCACCAGGAGGGCGCGCUCUCUGCAGCAGAGCGCAGGGGGCAAAGGACCAAGAUCAGCACUAGUUACUGCCAUGUGUCACCUGCAGAGUCCUGAUUACCCACCUCUUUUCCAUGUUUGCUUGCAAUGUCAAAAGCUCAGCUGCAGUUUUGUCAGUGACACUCAUCUGUAUCUCUCCUCCCAUGCAAGCCCCAGCACUGGUAAAGUGACAGUCUACAGGAGAUUAGCUCCCUGAUGAACAACAGCUGUCUCAAAUGCAACCCAGGCAGGAUUAAUGAGAAAAGUGCUCUGAAUAACCAGCCAAAAUGCUGUUUCCUCCUCACCAAUAAGAGCAUAGAGCCUCCAUUGGUCAAAGUGGUGUGAAUUCUCAGGUUCCUGGUUGACUCAUCACUGUGCUUGGAUGACCAGACAGCACUAUCUCAGAAUGCCUUUUCACCUCCAGUUGACUAACAAACUUGACCCAUUCUUUCCAGAUGAGGACCUGGCCACAGAGAAGUUUUCACAGAUCACCAUCAAAUAGGAUUACCAUAUUCACUGUAUCUGACACUGAAUAUAUAAAUCCAAAGGCCAAUACCAGUGUGGCUGCUUUCCAUCUUCAUGAUUUAAUCUAUUGUGAGCAUAACUCCAUAUGCCAAUUGCUUCUAUUGACCUCCAAUCUCCUUCCAACAGCAGUGCAAGGGUUUUGAUCCUAAUCUUGAAAGCUAUUAGUGGAUAAAGCCCCAUCUCCAGUAAAAAGCCAAAAUUAGGGCAGGGGACUUUAGAUGAAUUCAGGAGCUGAUCACCUUCAGGAAAUGCUUCCUCCAAUAAAUACUUUCCACCUUAUCAAUUACAACAUUAACAUCCUUCUAUACUCUUCAACCCUCUCCCCCAAAACAAACAAACCACCAAAAUUAACUCCACAAACCACCAAAAUAAAUAAAAAACGCACAACAGGUCUAAGUAAACCAAAAGAGAUGGCUAACAGACAACUGAACCAAAACCCAACUGUUUCUACUCCCAAUAUAGUUUAAAGAGACACACUCCAUCAAAGCCACCAAGAACAGUUACUUUAAUUGGGAAGUAUUCAGGUACUGUGGGUGACAGUAUUAAGCACUACCGUAGUAGUGCUGCACUCUGUUAUUUGUGGAGUCAUUAUUUCUUUUCUCAAAUUUUGGGACACUUGAGCAGAUUGCAAAAGGUUGGAAAAAGUAUCAAUUUCAAGAAUUUUAGUACUCUAGUGCGGAGGAAGUGAAGACUUUACCCAGCUGGACUUUUUACUAUUGUCAAUUGCUAGGAACUGAAAGAAAGGCAUAGACCUUCUAUGUGGUUCAUCUUGUUUAGUAUCCGAUGUGACAGUGGCCAGGAUCACAUGCAUCAGAAGAAACUGUGAGACACUAUACCCUUGUGGCAUAAUAUGGCCAGAAGGGAAGUUUCUUCCUACAGUGGUUGGCAUUUCAAUAAGGAAAAGUAGACACACAUUUUAAGUGAAUUCUUUGAAACGCCUGCAGGCUGGAAAGCGCUCAUCUAAAAACACGUGGUGUCUAGUACAACAGAAUCAUGAUCCUUGAUUGGGGACUCUAGGUGCUACUGCAACAGGAAAAACAAUUAGUUUACCCACUUUAGGAACAGCCGUUGCAUAAAGAUGGGGAUGGACUGAACAAACAUCUCUCUCCAUGAUUUUAUCUACUUAUUGAUUUCAGUUUUGACUUAUCUUCCCUUUCUGGAUACUUUUGGAUUUUCUUUAUCUUUAUAAAAGUAUUAAAGUAUAAAAGGUCUAAGUUCCAGAGGGGGCAUAAAUAUACUCUGAUCUUAACAACUCAGCCAACAUGCUUUGCAUUAUGCUCUGAAAUUAAAAGUUCAUCAGACUCUGGCCAGUGGGGGAAAGGGAGUUUAAAGUAUGAGUUCGUUGGAGAGAAGGAAUGUAGCUAGCAGUUAGGAAUUUGUUAACAGGCUGGCCAAUACAUUUCUUCCCCCUUCCCCCAUCAUCUUUAAAGUUAGACGAGCUGUUAUACUCAUUAUGAUCACUAACAGUAGGUGCAGGUACAGUGGAUUUACUGUAUGAGUCUAGCAGAAUGAAUAAAGAGCUUGUUGAUUAAGCUGAAACCACUGGCAGCGUGUCAAAAGAAAUAUUGCCCAAGUUAAUUAAAAUUUGUAGGCCUUGUCAAAGAUGGCAUAUACCUGCCUACACCUAUGGCAAAGCAGCAUCAGUGGCUGUUAGUGUUAUGUACAGCGGAAAUGUUGGUCCACAAGUUAUUAGAACCUAUGCCUAUCUGGCCUUUAUUUGCUUUUCACAAAUGUUUGUACAAUUUAAUUUAUUUUUAGUUGAAAUAAAAAAGUAAAUUUGGAGCCAUAGCCAAGGUAAGGUGAGUAGAGUAACAUUUAGGUCUAAAUGAGCAACAGUUACUAGACAUGGCAGAAAGUAACGUGUAGUUGAAGUUCUUCGCGCCAGCAAUGGUCUUAUGUAUUUGUUUACAUCUUGCGCAAUGGGGCAGUGAACUUCGCUGAGGCCUCUCAGCAAUAUUGUAUCGCCAGCAGCAGUCAUUUUUCUCUCCACUAGAGAAUGGAACUGCCAAGAGACUUAAGGUGAUAGCUCCACUUGCACCCCAUUAUUAGGUGCUGUGUAAACUUAGAACUCUCUACUGGCAGCAGGAGAAUCCACCUUUCUAAGGACCUCAUCCUGCAGCUUGCAUGCCUGGGUGGAGCCAAGGCCCAUGGAUCAGAGUGGGGCUCACAUGGACGAGGUUGCAGGAUCCAAGCUCUAAGUUUGCAGGACUGUCCCACUUUGACCCCCAACACCCCCACAUCCCAGUUGAAAUAGAGCAUUUCUUGCAUUAACUUGGCUACCUUAAAUUAGAACCAAUUACUACGGGUGAACAAAAAUACAAUUAAAAUUGAACAUGCAAGUAUAGCCACAAAGUUGUAUUUCAUUUGUUCUGUAAAGUCACAACUCUGUAUUGUUCUUUUUUAAAAAAACUUCCACAUUCCUUGUGUUAAUAAAAACCACGUACGCACUUUGA